CGGGUUCAAACCCGUACCGAAUGUGCCUAUAUUAGCCGUGUCGGGUAGCACCCGACUAUGGCGAUAAACGGUGCAUCCACUAGGCGUAGCGGACCCGGGGGCAGUACCCGGCGCCUCCACCAACACGCCGGAGAUGCCCGGACGCGCGCAAGGCGCGGCGUCCGGCCACUCCGGCACCCUAUGGGGGCGAACCAGGAUCGACGCGCGUUGAAAGGUGUACUUUUCGCCCGGCAUGGUACCGCCGUUAUCGGGCCUUUUCAGAAGUGCGAACGACAAUCGCGCUCCGGUUGCUGCGGCUGCGUAAUAGCGCCAAGGCGAUCGACUAGAAUCCCCGGUCGGUAGAGCCCGGCCGGGUGGGGUCCGGGGCUACCUAGCAACAGAAAGCCCCACU
rnacentral:tmRNA from 1 species